UCCUACGGGGGGCAGCAGUGAGGAAUAUUGGUCAAUGGGCGGGAGCCUGAACCAGCCAAGCCGCGUGAGGGAAGAAGGUACAGCGUAUCGUAAACCUCUUUUGUCAGGGAACAAAGGCGGGGACUAGUCCCCGGAUGAGGGUACCUGAAGAAAAAGCAUCGGCUAACUCCGUGCCAGCAGCCGCGGUAAUACGGAGGAUGCGAGCGUUAUCCGGAUUUAUUGGGUUUAAAGGGUGCGCAGGCGGCCUGUUAAGUCAGCGGUCAAAGCCCGGGGCUCAACCCCGGUCCGCCGUUGAAACUGGCAGU
rnacentral:rRNA from 1 species